AUGUGUUUCGAUUCUUCCGAACAAGAGAGGUUUGAUGCUUUUGAAUUCAUUGUAUUAAUUCCACUUCCUACUCGCAGUAUGCUCUUUAUGAUCUCGGCUCAUGAUUCAAUUGCCAUGUAUUUAGCUAUUGAGCCUCAAAUUUUAUGUUUUUAUGUGAUGGCAGCAUCAAAAAGAAAGUCUGAAUUUUCCACGGAAGCCGGCUCAGAAUAUUUGAUUUUGAUCUUAGGUGCAUUUUCCUCUGGAAUCUUAUUGUUUGGGUACGACCGAAUAACUACUGAUAUCUAA